rnacentral:rRNA from 1 species
GACGAACGCUGGCGGCGUGCCUAAUACAUGCAAGUUGAGCGCUGAAGGUUGGUACUUGUACCAACUGGAUGAGCAGCGAACGGGUGAGUAACGCGUGGGGAAUCUGCCUUUGAGCGGGGGACAACAUUUGGAAACGAAUGCUAAUACCGCAUAAAAACUUUAAACACAAGUUUUAAGUUUGAAAGAUGCAAUUGCAUCACUCAAAGAUGAUCCCGCGUUGUAUUAGCUAGUUGGUGAGGUAAAGGCUCACCAAGGCGAUGAUACAUAGCCGACCUGAGAGGGUGAUCGGCCACAUUUGGACUGAGACACGGCCCAAACUCCUACGGGAGGCAGCAGUAGGGAAUCUUCGGCAAUGGACGAAAGUCUGACCGAGCAACGCCGCGUGAGUGAAGAAGGUUGUCGGAUCGUAAAACUCUGUUGGUAGAGAAGAACGUUGGGGAGAGUGGAAAGCUCAUCAAGUGACGGUAACUACCCAGAAAGGGACGGCUAACUACGUG